GAUGAAGAACGUAGCGAAAUGCGAUACGUAAUGUGAAUUGCAGAAUUCAGUGAAUCAUCGAAUCUUUGAACGCAAAUUGCGCUCUUUGGUAUUCCGAAGAGCAUGCUUGUUUGAGUAUCAGUAAACACCUCAACCUCUUCUUGAUUUUUCAAAAGGAGGGUGGACUUGAGCUAUCCCAACAACCUUUACCGGUCGGCGGGCGGCUUGAAAUGCAGGUGCAGCUGGACUUUUAUCUGAGCUAAAAGCAUAUCUAUUUAGUCCUCGUCAAACAGGAUUAUUACUUUUGCUGCAGCUAACAUAAAGGAUAAUUGUCCUCUUUGCUGACUGAUGCAGGAUUUUACGACACUUUAUGUGUUGUUCAACUCGAUCUCAAAUCAAGUAAGACUACCCGCUGAACUUAAGCAUAUCAAUAAGCGGAGGA
rnacentral:misc_RNA from 1 species